UACGGGGGGGGCAAGCGUUGUUCGGAAUUACUGGGCGUAAAGGGCUCGUAGGCGGCCAACUAAGUCCGACGUGAAAUCCCCAGGCUUAACCUGGGAACUGCGUCGGAUACUGGAUGGCUUGAAUUCGGGAGAGGGAUGCAGAAUUCCAGGUGUAGCGGUGAAAUGCGUAGAUAUCUGGAGGAAUACCGGUGGCGAAGGCGGCGUCCUGGACCGGCAUUGACGCUGAGGCGCGAAAGCUAGGGGAGCAAACGGG
rnacentral:rRNA from 1 species